GUAGUAGUAGCUCAGAGCCAGAGCGUCGGUCUUGUAAUCCGAAUGUCGAAGGUUAAACUCCUUCCUGUUACU
rnacentral:tRNA from 1 species